UACGAAGGACCCAAGCGUUAUCCGGAUUUAUUGGGUUUAAAGGGUGCGUAGGCGGAUUAGUAAGUCAGUGGUGAAAGCCCAUCGCUUAACGGUGGAAUUGCCAUUGAUACUGCUAGUCUUGAGUAUGGUUGAGGUGGGCGGAAUGUGUCAUGUAGCGGUGAAAUGCUUAGAUAUGACACAGAACACCAAUUGCGAAGGCAGCUCGCUAAGCCAUAACUGACGCUGAGGCACGAAAGCGUGGGGAGCAAAC
rnacentral:rRNA from 1 species